rfam:Triticum aestivum genome assembly, contig: Triticum_aestivum_CS42_TGACv1_scaffold_410047_5BL
UAUAUACUCCCUCCGUUCAAAAUUACUUGUCAUGAAAAUGGAUAUAUCUAAAACUAAAAUACGUCUAGAUACAUCCAUUUCUGUGACAAGUAAUUCCGAACGGAGGGAGUAUAUG